rnacentral:rRNA from 1 species
UACGGGGGGGGGCAAGCGUUGUUCGGAAUUACUGGGCGUAAAGGCUCGUAGGCGGCCAACUAAGUCAGACGUGAAAUCCCUCGGCUUAACCGGGGAACUGCGUCUGAUACUGGAUGGCUUGAAUCUGGGAGAGGAUGCGGAAUUCCAGGUGUAGCGGUGAAAUGCGUAGAUAUCUGGAGGAACACCGGUGGCGAAGGCGGCAUCCUGGACCGGCAUUGACGCUGAGGCGCGAAAGCCAGGGGAGCAAAGCGGG